AGAAGCUCCGCAGGAACCAGAUCCAUUCACCUACGAUUACCACACCCUGCGGAUCGGCGGCCUCACUAUCGCUGGGAUCCUCUUCAUCUUGGGCAUCCUUAUCAUCCUUAGCAAAAGAUGCCGGUGCAAAUUCAACCAACAGCAGAGAACUGGGGAACCCGACGAAGAGGAGGGAACUUUCCGCAGCUCCAUCCGCCGUCUGUCCACCCGCAGGCGGUAGAACCUCCACCUGGCUCCAGGAAACUCAGCCAGAGCCCCCUUGGCACCUGACACCUCU
rnacentral:lncRNA from 1 species